GGAGGUCUGGCUUAGUGGAGGAGCUUGUGCUUGGCAUGCGUUAGGUCCUGGGUUCAAUCCCCAGUGCCUCCG
rnacentral:tRNA from 1 species